CGCGACGGCGACGAUCCUGCUCAACGCCACCCUGAUGGCGUCGGUAGGCACCACCAUCGUGACGCCGGAUGCGCCGCUGAUGGUGGCAGCGGCCUUUGUCCUGUACUUCCUCGCCAAAAUUCUGGAGACCGGCCGCGGUAUCUGGUGGCUUGGCGUCGGCGCAGCGGCGGGCUUUGGACUGCUCUCGAAAUACACCGCGCUGUUUUUCGGCGCGCAGAUCCUGCUUUGGCUGGUGCUGGUGAAGGACCAGCGGCGGUGGCUGGCAUCGCCGUGGCUUUAC
rnacentral:misc_RNA from 1 species